ensembl:miRNA
GGUUUCUCUGUGUAGCUUUGGAGCCUAUCCUGGCGCUCACUCUGGAGACCAGGCUGGUCUCGAACUCACAGAGAUCCACCUGCCUCUGCCUCCCAAGUGCUGGGAUUAAAGGCAUGCACCACCAAUGCCCG